rnacentral:lncRNA from 1 species
AAAUCGGCGCAAAGCUUAGCCCGGCCGCCGAUCUCCAAGUACCACGUCGGCGCCGUCGGUCUCGGAUCAUCCGGUAGAGUGUUCUUCGGGGUCAAUCUCGAGUUCCCCGGUCUUCCUCUUCAUCAAUCUGUUCACGCCGAACAAUUCCUCGUCACAAAUCUCGCCCUAAACGCCGAAUCUCACCUCAAUUACCUCGCCGUCUCCGCUGCCCCUUGCGGCCAUUGCCGUCAAUUCCUCCAAGAAGUUCGCUCUUCCGCAGAUAUCAAAAUCCUCGUCUCCGAUUCUGGUUCCGAUUCUGGUUCCGAUUCCAAACCCGACGUUUACGUUCCUCU